rnacentral:rRNA from 1 species
UGCGAUACCUAGUGUGAAUUGCAGAAUUCCGCGAAUCAUCGAGUUUUUGAACGCAAGUUGCGCCCGAGGCUCGUACCGAGGGCAUGUCUGUCUGAGCGUCCA